GGACCCAAGACCAGGAUUCAGUAGAUGGGUAGGUAGAACUCUCCUAGUCCAGAGAGCAAAGCAAGAUAGCUCUUACAAGAACUAAUGAUUAUAAUUCCAGGGAGUAUAAGGAGUAUAGCAAUCCCCAGAGUGUGAAUAUAGCUCUCAAUCCCCCAAACAUGAGCCUAGGCUUCAUGAAGGGUAAAAUAAAUCUGUUUGAUGGCAGCCACAACUGGC